rnacentral:rRNA from 1 species
UACGUAGGGGGCUAGCGUUGUCCGGAAUCAUUGGGCGUAAAGCGCGUGUAGGCGGUUCGGUAAGUCCGCUGUGAAAGUCGGGGGCUCAACCCUCGAAUGCCGGUGGAUACUGUCGAACUAGAGUGCGGAAGAGGCGAGUGGAAUUCCUGGUGUAGCGGUGAAAUGCGCAGAUAUCUGGAGGAACACCGGUGGCGAAGGCGGCAUCCUGGACCGGCAUUGACGCUGAGGAGCGAAAGCCAGGGGAGCAAAGCGGG